GUGCUCUCUUGGGCAGCACGCAUACUAAAGGUGGAAUGAUGCAGAGAUUAGCAUGGCCCUUGCCCAAGGAUGACAUGCAAAUUCAUAUUUUAAAGCAUAGUCAA